CGUGAGCUGGGUUUAGACCGUCGUGAGACAGGUUAGUUUUACCCUACUGAUGAUUGUCACCGCAAUGGUAAUUCAGCUUAGUACGAGAGGAACCGCUGAUUCAGAUAAUUGGUUUUUGCGGCUGUCUGACAAGGCAGUGCCGCGAAGCUACCAUCUGCUGGAUAAUGGCUGAACGCCUCUAAGUCAGAAUCCAUGCCAGAACGCGGCGAUUUCCUCCCACACAUCGUAGUCGGAUACGAAUAGGCCUAUGGCCCUGAAUCUUAGCUAGUUGGCAAUGGGACAGCGGGAGAAGUCCACUGUCUCAGCUGACGCCUUGCAAUUUUACCAUGCGUGGGGAUAAAACCUUUGCAUACGACUUAGUUAUAUCAGACGGUGCUGUAAAUAGUAGAGUAGUCUUGUUAUUACGAUCUAUUGAGGCUAAGCCGCGCUGAUUUAGUUUUGU
rnacentral:ncRNA from 1 species